UACAAUCCUCUCCAUGAGGUAACAUUAAUUAUAUAUAACAACAACAACAACAAUAUAUUUCAAAAAGUGAUGAAUAAAAGAAGAAGAAGAAGAAGAAGACACAUUGGCACUGGAAGCACCUUCCCUAAGCAGCAUGCGGUAUAUUAAUUCGACCCGAGAGGCGUGCGCUUUUGGGUGCAUGAACUGAUGAACAGAAGCUCCAUAAAAAAGUAAACAAAUACUUAAACAAAUAGAUUAGUGCUCAUGGAUAUAAAAAUGAUACAUAUCAUGCAUUGGUAAUUGUCGGUGGCUGUCGGUGAUGUUCGCUCUCAUUACGAGGUGAGUGGUCAAUGUUCCCAACUCCCAAGCAUUGGGAUUUGCUGGACGGAUCCAUGCCUAAAAAAAUAGAGAAAAGGUAACAAGAUGACAAUGUAUGGUAGCAAGAAGUAAAAUGGUGAUAAUGGAAGUUUUUAUCAUUUUCUUUAUUAGAGUUGGCAUCAGUGUGGCAAGGGUGAGAGAGGUCGAUGUGAUGCGCAUUGCACCAUGUUGAGAUGGAUCAGGAUGAAACAUAUACUUAAUUAGGGCUCAAAACGAAGAAGAACAAAGAAGUUUAAGAAGAUAGAGAAAAGGAAAAAAAAAAAUAAGAACACACAGAGAGAUACCCAAACUCACCCUCAUGAGUACUCAUCCUCUCCCUCCUAAUUACAGCUGGUCUUGGGGUAUAACUGAAAGUUUGAAAGAAGCGAAGUCACUCUAACAAAGUUUUUCCAUCUACAGAACUUGGUAUAGCUAACCUGUAACUUUUCCAUUGGUUUUCUCUAACUGGAUACUGUAGAAGAUGAUAGAGUAGUGGUCAAAUAUUUUCUCUGCUAUGGCAAGCCUUGAUAAUAUUCAGUGCAUCUCUCCUUCCACUUCGAAGUUCUUCAACCCAUACUCCAAGCAAAGUUUGAUGCAUUCCCUGAUCAGUGCCUUUGCUUCAAUGAUUUGUAGGCACUGAUCCAAUAAAACCUAUUUUAUUUUGGCUAAAG
rnacentral:lncRNA from 1 species